UACGUAGGGCGCAAGCGUUGUCCGGAAUUAUUGGGCGUAAAGAGCUCGUAGGCGGUUUGUCGCGUCUGCUGUGAAAACCUAAGGCUCAACCUUGGGCUUGCAGUGGGUACGGGCAGACUUGAGGAGGGUAGAGGAGAGUGGAAUUCCCGGUGUAGUGGUGAUAUGCGUAGAUAUCGGGAGGAACACCAGUGGCGAAGGCGGCUCUCUGGGCCCUACCUGACGCUGAGACGCGAAAGCGUGGGGAGCGAACCGG
rnacentral:rRNA from 1 species